rnacentral:rRNA from 1 species
GACGAACGCUGGCGGCGCGCCUAACACAUGCAAGUCGAACGAGCGAGAGAGAGCUUGCUUUCUCGAGCGAGUGGCGAACGGGUGAGUAACGCGUGAGGAACCUUCCUCAAAGAGGGGGACAACAGUUGGAAACGACUGCUAAUACCUCAUAAGCCCACGACCCGGCAUCGGGUAUAGGGAAAAGGAGCAAUCCGCUUUGAGAUGGCCUCGAUUCCGAUUAGCUAGUUGGUGAGGUAACGGCGCACCAAGGCGACGAUCGGUAGACGGACUGAGAGGUUGAACGGACACAUUGGGACUGAGACACGGCGCAGAAUCCUACGGGAGGCAGCAGUGGGGAAUAUUGCACAGUGGGGGAAACCAUGAUGGAGCGACGCCGCGUGGAGGAAGAAGGUCUUCGGAUUGGAAAGUCAUGUUGUAGAGGAAGAUAAUGACGGUACUAAACAAGGAAGUGACGGCUAACUACGUG